rnacentral:rRNA from 1 species
AACGAACGCUGGCGGCAUGCCUAACACAUGCAAGUCGAACGAGACCUUCGGGUCUAGUGGCGCACGGGUGCGUAACGCGUGGGAACCUGCCCUUAGGUUCGGAAUAACUCCCCGAAAGGGGUGCUAAUACCGGAUAAUGUCUUCGGACCAAAGAUUUAUCGCCUUUGGAUGGGCCCGCGUUGGAUUAGCUAGUUGGUAGGGUAAAAGCCUACCAAGGCGACGAUCCAUAGCUGGUCUGAGAGGAUGAUCAGCCACACUGGGACUGAGACACGGCCCAGACUCCUACGGGGGGAGGCAGUGGGGAAUAUUGGAAAAUGGGCGAAAGCCUGAUCCAGCAAUGCCGGGUGAGUGAUGAAGGCCUUGGGGUUUUAAAGCUUUUUUACCCGGGAUUAUAAUGACAGUACCGGGAGAAUAAGCCCCGGCUAACUCCGG